GCCCCUCUAGCUCAGUUGGUAGAGCAUCGGACUUUUAAUCCGCGGGUCGCCGGUUCGAGCCCGGCGGGGGGCACCU
rnacentral:tRNA from 1 species